GAGCUUUUUGACCAAAUAACCAGAGUAAGCUAAUAUAAGAAAUUCUUGGCAGCAUUUAAUUUCAUUGUGGGACAAAACUUCUAAUUUUUCUUGGCAGUUGGCUGCACCAAAGUGAAAGCAAUUUAUGUGUAAGGCAAUUUACAAAACCACAUAAAAAAAAUUGUCAAAAACUGCCUACUAUUCAGAAAUUCAACAUUCCUAAACCAAUUAUUAGUAUGAGCAGAGGAAGCUUUUUCCUCUUCCUCAAAUGCUAUCCUGGUGUGUUCCUUCCAUCCAGCUAUUAGCAACAUUUUUGUGAAGCAUGGAAGCUGAAAGCUUAAAUUUUGAAUUAUGUCGUCCGAAUAGGUGCAUAAGAUGAUAAAUUUCACCACGCAUUCUUGAAUCAUUUGGUAACUGUACAUUGUUCUAAAUAUAUCUAGAUUAUAGCUCUGGCUUUUUGUCUACAAUAUGACUUUAACUACGUCAAAAGUUGCAUUUGAAAUGUAUUCCCCAUUUGAGAUGCACAAAAAUUUAAAAGCUGAAUGUUUAUAACUUUGAAAUCUGUUUUUAUUCGAUCAGUAUAUGGUGCAUUUUGCUUCCUUUUUUAUUGCAUUUUAGAAAUUAUGUGGAUAAUUUGGAUGUGUGCAGAAAGGCCGUUUAUCGGAGGAUGAAGCUCGCUUCUAUGCUGCAGAAGUUGUGGAUGCUCUUGAAUACAUACAUAAUAUGGGAUUAAUACAUCGA
rnacentral:misc_RNA from 1 species